GGCGGACGGGUGAGUAACACGUGGGUAACCUGCCUGUAAGACUGGGAUAACUCCGGGAAACCGGGGCUAAUACCGGAUGGUUGUUUGAACCGCAUGGUUCAAACAUAAAAGGUGGCUUCGGCUACCACUUACAGAUGGACCCGCGGCGCAUUAGCUAGUUGGUGAGGUAACGGCUCACCAAGGCAACGAUGCGUAGCCGACCUGAGAGGGUGAUCGGCCACACUGGGACUGAGACACGGCCCACACUCCUACGGGAGGCAGCAGUAGGGAAUCUUCCGCAAUGGACGAAAGUCUGACGGAGCAACGCCGCGUGAGUGAUGAAGGUUUUCGGAUCGUAAAGCUCUGUUGUUAGGGAAGAACAAGUACCGUUCGAAUAGGGCGGUACCUUGACGGUACCUAACCAGAAAGCCACGGCUAACUACGUGCCAGCAGCCGCGGUAAUACGUAGGUGGCAAGCGUUGUCCGGAAUUAUUGGGCGUAAAGGGCUCGCAGGCGGUUUCUUAAGUCUGAUGUGAAAGCCCCCGGCUCAACCGGGGAGGGUCAUUGGAAACUGGGAGAACUUGAGUGCAGAAGAGAGAGAGUGGAAUUCCACGUGUAGCGGUGGAAAUGCGUAGAGAUGUGGAGGAACACCAGUGGCGAAGGCGACUCUCUGGUCUGUAACUGACGCUGAGGAGCGAAAGCGUGGGGAGCAAACAGGAUUAGAUACCCUGGUAGUCCACGCCGUAAACGAUGAGUGCUAAGUGUUAGGGGGUUUCCGCCCCUUAGUGCUGCAGCUAACGCAUUAAGCACUCUCGCCUGGGGAGUGCGGUGGCAAGAAUGAAACUCAAAAGGAAUUGACGGGGGCCCGCACACAGCGCGUGGAGCAUGUGGUGUAAUUCUGAAGCAACGCGAAGAACCUUACCAGGUCUUGACAUCUCUCUGACAAUAUCUAGAGAUAGGACGUCCCCUUCGGGGGCAGAGUGACAGGUGGUGCAUGGUUGUCGUCAGCUCGUGUCGUGAGAUGUUGGGUUAAGUCCCGCAACGAGCGCAACCCCCGAUCUUAGUUGCCAGCAUUCAGUUGGGCACUCUAAGGUGACUGCCGGUGA
rnacentral:rRNA from 1 species